AACGAACGCUGGCGGCAGGCUUAACACAUGCAAGUCGAACACAUCCUUCGGGGUGAGUGGCAGACGGGUGAGUAACGCGUGGGAACGUGCCCUUCAGUUCGGGAUAACCCAGGGAAACUUGGGCUAAUACCGGAUACGUGCGAGAGCAGAAAGAUUUAUCGCUGAGGGAUCGGCCCGCGUCUGAUUAGCUGGUUGGUGGGGUAAUGGCCCACCAAGGCGACGAUCAGUAGCUGGUCUGAGAGGAUGAUCAGCCACAUUGGGACUGAGACACGGCCCAAACUCCUACGGGAGGCAGCAGUGGGGAAUAUUGGACAAUGGGCGCAAGCCUGAUCCAGCCAUGCCGCGUGAGUGAUGAAGGCCUUAGGGUUGUAAAGCUCUUUCGUCCGGGACGAUAAUGACGGUACCGGAAGAAGAAGCCCCGGCUAACUUCGUGCCAGCCGCCGCCGUAAGAC
rnacentral:rRNA from 1 species